UGGAUAUCGGCCUUUUGGUUCGGAAUAACCCCGGGAAACUGGGGCUAAUACCGGAUGGUUCCUUCGGGAUAAAGAUUUAUCGCCAAAAGAUGAGUCCGCGUACGAUUAGCUAGUUGGUGAGGUAAUGGCUCACCAAGGCGACGACGGGUAGCCGGCCUGAGAGGGCGACCGGCCACACUGGGACUGAGACACGGCCCAGACUCCUACGGGAGGCAG
rnacentral:rRNA from 1 species